rnacentral:rRNA from 1 species
UACGGAGGGGGCGAGCGUUAUUCGGAAUUAUUGGGCGUAAAGGGCGCGUAGGUGGCCCUGUAAGUCAAAGGUGAAAUCCCUCGGCUCAACCGAGGAAUUGCCUUUGAAACUGCAGGGCUUGAGGCCGGGAGGGGGUAGCGGAAUUCCCAGUGUAGCGGUGAAAUGCGUAGAUACUGGGAGGAACACCGGUGGCGAAGGCGGCUACCUGGACCGGUUCUGACACUGAUGCGCGAAAGCGUGGGUAGCAAAC